ACGCUACGAUCGAAAAUUUAAACAUACCGCCCUUUCUUUUCGGCAUCCGAAGAUCACCGAAGACUGCCGAAGACAGACAGACUGACUGACGCGCUUUAGCGCCUAAGCGUUAUUUUCCGUUUCAGUCUUCAAUAAUUUUUCGGUCUUGUGUUGAUUUUAGGAGAUUUAUCAAAAAAAUCGGAGUAAAAAUUGUCUUCUCAGUUCAGAGUGAGAAUUGAAGUAAAAACGGGAAAUCUAAUUCAGUGGGGGUGUCUAGGACCCCUCAAAUCAUAACCCCUCGAGAACAAGGCGUCGCUAUUCUUUUUGCGUCUGUAGUCAUUGGUGUAGUGUUGCGCGAAAUCCAACAGUUUUGUGAUUCAGUGUAAAAUUAAAAAAAAAGACUACAAAUUAAUGUAUGCAACCAGACAUCCCCCCACGCUUACCGACAAAGUAGCGGCUACUUAAGAUUUGAAUCUUCGCAAUGAAGACAUCGAAAGAUAAGUGAAAAAUUAGAGAUAUUUAUUUUUGGUUAAUAAUAUAUUCUAAUAUAUAUCACAUUCAUAUUUAGAAAUAACAUAUCGUAACAAAUACUCGUAAUAUAUACAUAUCAGUUUUAAAGUAUUUAAUACCUACAUACCUGAAGUAAAAGCUUUAUAUUACUUACACGCGAGUUAAAGACAAUUCAUUAAAAAAAUCUCUUAUUUAAUAAUUGAAAGCAGGCUAAAUUACAAUUUUUCCUAUUUAACACGCAUCACAGUUUUUAUAUAAAAAAAAAAAAA